AAUCAGAGAUUUCUGCCAGAGAUAUCUCUAGUUCAAUGUUAAAUGAAUAAUCCCGAGAUUUAGUAUUAUAUGAAAUGCAUAUAAAUUAAUCAUUCUUUUUCUUAAUGAUAAGCAUUAUGUCUCGCAUAUGUUACAUUUAACGAUAAAUCGCUGAAAGCUAUUCCGAAGUACGUGUUUGUUUCAAGAAAUGUCAAGCGAGGCCAGUUUCCAAAUGAGAAACAAUUACGGUAACCGAUGAAGACGUGUCUGGCGCCCGCAGUGACGCAGAUAUGCUGCAGCAUGGGCAUUGAUUCGACAGUCGCAUAUCUCGAGCGGGGGAUUAGUAAGAGCAGGUACGAAGAAUUUAUCGCAUACUACUGCUAAAGCGAUAAAUAAGUAAAGUGACACGAUGACGUGUACGACAACGGCACCGCCUUGUCUCUCUUGCUCAUCAAACAGGUCGUGUGGAAAAUCUUCUAUAGCCGGUGGCGUACAAUUUAUACCUAAAAAUAGUCGGCGGCUCAUUCUGGCGCUAAAAGGGAGUAGAGUUGUGAUGACGACGACGACGACAACGACGAUGACGAUGACGAGGAGAUAGAUCGACGGUUACGAAAUCGGUAUAUGAGCAGCACGUACAUUGACUCGCCGAAUAGACAAACGUUCCCGCUCGAAACGACGCGGAAUGUCACGCAUGCAUCGGACACACGAACGAUACGACGGUGUGCGAUGUCCAAAUCGGAUCGUGUGGUGGUAAGAUAACGAUACGCCACAAGUAGGAAACGUCUCGUUACCGUUCGUCAUUACUUCAAUUUUAUGGAACCGUCGUGUCGUGCCGAAUUCUUUGGCAAACAAGCAAGAGCCGCGAGGGAGAGCGAGGGAGGGACAUGGUCCGUCUGCAAUAUACGUGCGAUUGAUCGAGCAACACGCUCUCGUGUCCAAUUUUCAAAGGCGAAUUCCUUAACGUUUAUAUCGAAAUACGAGACACAUUUAUUUUGCCAUUGAACUUGUUGAUAAUUAUC